rnacentral:rRNA from 1 species
AGUUUGAUCAUGGCUCAGAACGAACGCUGGCGGCACGCCUAACACAUGCAAGUCGAGCGCUUCCCUUCGGGGAGGAGCGGCGGACGGGUUAGUAACGCGUGGGAACAUACCCUUUUCUACGGAAUAGCCUCGGGAAACUGAGAGUAAUACCGUAUACGCCCUUCGGGGGAAAGAUUUAUCGGUUAAGGAUUGGCCCGCGUUAGAUUAGAUAGUUGGUGGGGUAAUGGCCUACCAAGUCUACGAUCUAUAGCUGGUUGAG